rnacentral:lncRNA from 1 species
UAGUACAGUAAUGGGCGGGGUGUUACAUCCCUCCCAUCUUAAAAAAAUUUGGUCCCUAAAUUUUUCUCGAAUGAGUCUGAAUACUUUUUCCUCAUUUCCUCCUACAAUUCCCAUGUCACUUCUUCUAAAGUAUGAUGCUGUCAUCGUACCUUCACUAUGGGGAUCGUCUUGUUACGUAAGACUUUAUCGGUCCACCUAAGAAUUUCUAUGGAAACCUCCUCAUAGGUCAUAUCGGCUUGUACUUGCAUCUCAUCGCGAGGAUUAACAUGAGAAGGAUUAGGGUUGUACCUCUUGAGCAUCGAGACAUGAAAGACAUCAUGCAAACCUACGAACUCUCGGGAUAGAGUGAGGCAGUAUAUUAUGGGUCCAAUGCGCUUGAUGAUCGAAAAAGGUCCCAUAUAACGAUGGAUUAGCUUCCCUCUCUUCCCAAAUCACAUCUUGCCUUUAUAGGGGUAGACUUUUAGGAAAACUUAAUCUCCCACAGCAAAUUCCAAGGGUCACCUACGAUUAUUGGCAUAGCUCUUUUGGCAGUUUUGGGCAAUUGCCAAAUUCUUACGGAUGAUUGCGAUCUUCGCUAUGGUAUCCUGAAUGAAGUCUGGUCCUAAGUGACACUGGUUCCCGACUUCACUCCAGCAAGUAGGGCAACGACAAGGCCUUCCAUAUA